AUCAAACUUGAGAGUUUGAUCCUGGCUCAGAACGAACGCUGGCGGCAUGCCUAACACAUGCAAGUCGAACGAUGCUUUCGGGCAUAGUG
rnacentral:rRNA from 1 species